UCCCUACUGCCUCUAAUCUGGAGGACUCACUAAACAGAGAACAUCCCUGGUCAUCCCUACUGCCUCUGACCUGGAGGACUCACUAAACAGAGAACAUCCCUGGUCAUCCCUACUGCCUCUGAUCUGGAGGACUCACUAAACAGAGAACAUCCCUGGUCAUCCCUACUGCCUCUGAUCUGGAGGACUCACUAAACACACACACAGUGCGUUUGUAAAUCUCUUCUGAGUGUUGGAGCCCCUGGCUAUCCGUAAAUUUAAAAAAAAACUUAAGAGAAAAUCAUACCGUCAGGAGUUUGAUUUAUAUUCUUUGCUUUAUCCCACCAGUUUCAUACUUUUUCCCACCAUUGUACUUAAAGUACAUUUUAAAAACAGAUACUUUGACUCAAGUACUAUUUUACUGGGUGAUUUUCACUUAUACUCAAGUCAUUUUCGAUUAAGGUGUCUUUCGUUUGACUCAAAUAGGACAUUUAAGUAGUUGUUUCUGCUAUAAACACACUUAUGUUUUCUGAUUUAAAAACAACAAUAAACAAAGAAAAUUCAUAUUAAUGUUAUAAUUGUUUUUGUAUAAUUGAUUACAUUGACAUUUUAUCCAUAAAGAUAUGCAAACAAUUUAACUAUUUAAAGGAGAUACUAUUUAAACUGUACAGAUUCAACAUUAUUAUUAUUAUUAUUAUUGUUAUUAUUAUUAUUAUUAUUAUGAUUAUUUGUGAAGACCCCUCUGUUUUGUGUCAGAACAAUCCUCAUGCUGUAGGUCUGUGCUGUGUCGUGAGUCACUGUUUCCAUCUGUAGGUUUUACCCCAUUGACAUCCAAUCAUUUGUUUAUGUGGUGUGUAUAGGUUCAUUGUAUAUAUACAUGCUGAAGGCUCUACGGUCAUCCCAGGCCCUAACCAAGGUAGAGAGGGGGUCUGAACCCAUGCUGAAGGCUGUGCGGUCAUCACCAGGCCCUAACCAAGGUAGAGAGGGGGUCUGAACCCAUGCUGAAGGCUCUACGGUCAUCACCAGGCCCUAACCAAGGUAGAGAGGGGUCUGAACUCAUGCUGAAGGCUGUGCGGUCAUCACCAGGCCCUAACCAAGGUAGAGAGGGGGUCUGAACCCAUGUUGAAGGCUCUACGGUCAUCACCAGGCCCUAACCAAGGUAGAGAGGGGUCUGAACUCAUGCUGAAGGCUCUACGGUCAUCACCAGGCCCUAACCAAGGUAGAGAGGGGGUCUGAACCCAUGCUGAAGGCUGUACGGUCAUCACCAGGCCCUAACCAAGGUAGAGAGGGGGUCUGAACCCAUGCUGAAGGCUCUACGGUCAUCACCAGGCCCUAACCAAGGUAGAGAGGGGGUCUGAACCCAUGCUGAAGGCUGUGCGGUCAUCACCAGGCCCUAACCAAGGUAGAGAGGGGGUCUGAACCCAUGUUGAAGGCUCUACGGUCAUCACCAGGCCCUAACCAAGGUAGAGAGGGGUCUGAACUCAUGCUGAAGGCUCUACGGUCAUCACCAGGCCCUAACCAAGGUAGAGAGGGGGUCUGAACCCAUGCUGAAGGCUGUACGGUCAUCACCAGGCCCUAACCAAGGUAGAGAGGGGGUCUGAACCCAUGCUGAAGGCUGUACGGUCACCACAACACCAAUACUAGUGUUUUAAUCCACAAUGGGGAGUUGUCACACAUUGUUUAAAUACAUUUUUUUUACAUUAACACCAUAUCAAGGAACUAACAGAUGGCUCGAUCAGGUUGAUUGAUAUACCAGUAGCCUCAUCGUGCCCCCCUCCCUUUGUUUAUUAAAGCUUUGCCAUUUAAACAAUUAUUGAUAUAAACGAGAACAUGAGGUGAAAGGAACGGCUUGAGGGGACAGGAAGAAGUGUUUGUCGUGUUUGUUGCGUCCACUCUUACAUUGUAUUUGUGUUGUCAACAACACUCACUUUCUUCUUUUUCGUUUUGUUGUUGCCAAGUGCCUUUGGCUACAAUCCAUGCCUGUAGCACAGUGUUGCCUGUAGCACAGUGUUGCCUGUAGCAGUGUUGCCUGUAUUGUGUCACUGUUGUCUGUUUCAACUUUCCAUCAAAGUAACAAUAACGCUCAUUAGUGUGGUGCAUGUGUGCCAAAUGGCACCCUAUUCCCUAUGUUGUGCACUACUUUUGGACUAGAUCUCUAAGGGUCCUGGUCAGAAGUAGUGGACGAUAGAGGGCAUAGGAUGCCAUUUGAGAUGUAGAACCUCUUGUGUCAUCACCGGUAGUGUCGUACAUGUCCACGCCUGUUAUUUAACCACUCUGAAAUAUCAUGAGUGAUACAGACAGAGGAGGCUGGUGAUGGGAGGACGGCUCGUAGUGAAACGGAAACUGCGUGUUGGAUGUGUUUGAAUCCCGAUCCAUUUCAUCCCGGUUCCAGACGUUACUAUGGGCCCAUCCUCUGAUUUAUAGUGACACCAGCCACCCCUGGAUACGUGAUCAACACAGAACCUUUGAAUAGCCAAUGAUAAGAUGAUAUAGUCAUUGAUAUAAUGUAAUCCAAUGAACAUGAUGCGGUCCUCUGCUGCUAGUUAAUUACACCCUCAUUUUUUGGCUGUACACGUUGUACGCCACAUCUUAUUGGCUGUACACGCUGUACGCCACAUCUUAUUGGCUGUACACAUUGGACCUUUGGCAGG
ensembl:lncRNA